rnacentral:rRNA from 1 species
UACGUAGGGUGCGAGCGUUAUCCGGAAUUAUUGGGCGUAAAGAGCUCGUAGGCGGUUUGUCACGUCUGCUGUGAAAGCUCGGGGCUUAACCUCGAGUUUGCAGUGGGUACGGGCAGGCUAGAGUGCAGUAGGGGAGACUGGAAUUCCUGGUGUAGCGGUGAAAUGCGCAGAUAUCAGGAGGAACACCGAUGGCGAAGGCAGGUCUCUGGGCUGUUACUGACGCUGAGGAGCGAAAGCAUGGGGAGCGAACAGG